rnacentral:lncRNA from 1 species
ACACGCUGGGCAGCUGCUGUGCUUGUGUCUCCUCCACCCUGAGAGUCCGAUCCAGCCAAGAUCCGGACGCAGUUGGAGUGUGUCCCAGACCUUUGUCCUCUCGCUGGGCGAAAGCUGUGAGUUUCCGCCGUACCCGGCUGCCUGACCCCUUCACUUCGGGUUCUGAAACCUCAAAUUACAGGGCCCCUCUUUAUGCAUGGCAUUGUCUGAGCCCUUUUCGGGGAGUUCGCAAUCAUUCAUCUUCAAGUUUACAUAAACCAUGUAGUAGGAAUUUUUCUAACUAAUGUCUGAUUGGCCCUAAAGCCCGUGCUAUUCUGCAUUCACUCCUUGUUAUCUGGGGUAGUUAGAGCCAGAGAGAAUCUGCAGAGUGAAAAUUGGACUGCCUGGGGCAGGGAUAACCUUGCGGAGCACUGUUCCCUUCACCAACCCCACCAUCAUCAAAGGGCUAUUGGUAUCGGAGCUUCCUACGCGCUGAACUUCUGGAGUAGCCUCCUCGAGGUCUUUCCACUAGCCUCAAGCUAUCGACAGAAGUUUGGCACUUUGCUCUAGGGUUCGCUGUCUCCCCCAUUAAUUCCCUGGUCUAGAAGUUAGACUUGAUGACUUGUAAAGUGUGGUCCCAUUCAUGGAUUACAGUUCGCGGGUUGCCACUGAAAUUGUUUACAGAUGGCUGAAAAAGUCCCUGCAGAGCUGCUUCCCCAUCAGGGCCAAGUGUUCAAGUUAUAUGUCUCCAGAGAAGGGCAAAUACUGCCUUUCACCAGAUUCAAGGGAAGGAAGGUGAAGAAUCAGGAGAGGGGACCCCUGGGGAGCAAGGAUGGCUUACCAGGAUCAGAGCAUCUGCCCCUUCCAAGGGACAUCCUUCCACCACGAGUUCAAAGUGGAUCCACAGACUGUUCCAUCCUGCAAAUUACAGAAGACGGGGUGUCAUUCAGCUUUGUCCCUCAAGGGCCAGAAUGUAACAGCAUGCUGGUUUCUUAAGUGAACUAGUGAAUAAAUGUAGCUCAGUGAGUGUGGA